rnacentral:rRNA from 1 species
UGGCAUUAGAGUUUGAUCCUGGCUCAGAAUCAACGCUGGCGGCGUGCCACAGACAUGCAAGUCGAACGCGAAAGCUCCCUUCGGGGAGCAAGUAGAGUGGCGCACGGGUGAGUAACACGUAGGUAAUCUACCUUUGGAUGGGGAAUAACAACCGGAAACGGUUGCUAAUACCGCAUAAUGCAGCGGCACCUAAUGGUGACAGUUGUUAAAGCGGGGGAUCGCAAGACCUCGCGUCUGAAGAGGAGCCUGCGGCAGAUUAGCUAGUUGGUAAGGUAACGGCUUACCAAGGCGAUGAUCUGUAGCCGGCCUGAGAGGGCGGUCGGCCACACUGACACUGACAUACGGGUCAGACUCCUACGGGAGGCAUCAGUCGGGAAUUUUGGGCAAUGGGCAAAACCCU